GACAGAGGGGCAAGCGUUGCUCGGAAUUACUGGGCGUAAAGGGCGCGUAGGCGGGCGGUCAAGUCAGGGGUGAAAUCUUUCGGCUCAACCGGAAAAGUGCCCUUGAUACUGACUGUCUGGAGGGAGGUAGGGGCGUGCGGAACUUCCGGUGGAGCGGUGAAAUGCGUUGAUAUCGGAAGGAACACCGGUGGCGAAAGCGGCGCGCUGGACCUCUACUGACGCUGAGGCGCGAAAGCCAGGGGAGCAAGCGGGG
rnacentral:rRNA from 1 species